rnacentral:rRNA from 1 species
GUGAGGAAUAUUGGACAAUGGGCGCAAGCCUGAUCCAGCCAUGCCGCGUGCAGGAAGACGCAUCUAUGGUGUGUAAACUGCUUUUGUACGGGAAGAAACACUCCCUCGUGAGGGAGCUUGACGGUACCGUAAGAAUAAGGAUCGGCUAACUCCGUGCCAGCAGCCGCGGUAAUACGGAGGAUCCAAGCGUUAUCCGGCAUCAUUGGGUUUAAAGGGUCCGUAGGCGGUGUAAUAAGUCAGUGGUGAAAGCCCAUCGCUCAACGAUGGAACGGCCAUUGAUACUGUUAGACUUGAAUUACAAGGAAGUAACUAGAAUAUGUAGUGUAGCGGUGAAAUGCUUAGAUAUUACAUGGAAUACCAAUUGCGAAGGCAGGUUACUACUUGUGGAUUGACGCUGAUGGACGAAAGCGUGGGGAGCGAACAGGAUUAGAAACCCUAGUAGUCC